UCAGGCCUAACACAUGCAAGUCGAACGGCAGCACGGGUGCUUGCACCUGGUGGCGAGUGGCGAACGGGUGAGUAAUAUAUCGGAACGUGCCCUAGAGUGGGGGAUAACGUAGCGAAAGUUACGCUAAUACCGCAUACGAUCUACGGAUGAAAGUGGGGGACCGCAAGGCCUCACGCUCCUGGAGCGGCCGAUAUCUGAUUAGCUAGUUGGUGGGGUAAAAGCCUACCAAGGCGACGAUCAGUAGCUGGUCUGAGAGGACGACCAGCCACACUGGGACUGAGACACGGCCCAGACUCCUACGGGAGGCAGCAGUGGGGAAUUUUGGACAAUGGGGGCAACCCUGAUCCAAAAGUGCCGCGUGUGUGAAGAAGGCCUUCGGGU
rnacentral:rRNA from 1 species